GUACUUGCUUCGCCAGUACAUGUACUAAAAUUGGAACGAUACAUAGAAGAUUAGCACGGUCCCUGCGCAAGGAAGCGUUCCUAGUGUCUAAAAUGAAGUCUAGCUCACUUGU